CGAGCGAUCAUAAGGGAGCUAACUGCAAAUCUGCCGUCAUCGACUUCAAGGUUCGACUCGAGCAAUAGUGAGAGAACGUUGCCGCAGGCAACGGCCCGAAGGGUGAGGAGCUUUAGCUCCGAAUAAUCCUUCCCGCUAUAG
rnacentral:sRNA from 2 species